CCUACGGGCGGCUGCAGUGGGGGAUAUUGCACAAUGGGGGGAACCCUGAUGCAGCGACGCCGCGUGGGUGAAGAAGCGCCUCGACGCGUAAAGCCCUGUCAGCAGGGAAGAAAAUGACGGUACCUGAAGAAGAAGCCGCGGCUAACUACGUGCCAGCAGCCGCGGUAAUACGUAGGGGGCAAGCGUUAUCCGGAUUUACGGGGUGUAAAGGGGGCGCAGACGGCGAUGCAAGCCAGGAGUGAAAGCCCGGGGCCCAACCCCGGGACUGCUCUUGGAACUGCGUGGCUGGAGUGCAGGAGGGGCAGGAGGAAUUCCUGGUGUAGCGGUGAAAUGCGUAGAUAUCAGGAGGAACACCGGUGGCGAAGGCGGCCUACUGGACUGCAACUGACGUUGAGGCCCGAAAGCGUGGGGAGCAAACAGGAUUAGAUACCCUAGUAGUC
rnacentral:rRNA from 1 species